GCUAAACAGAGGUUUUAAAAACAGAGGUUUCAACAGAGGUUGCUGCUAACUGAAUUAUAAUCGUAUUGUGUUUAAUAAAGGUUGAUUUAUAUGCUAACUGAAUACCAUCCCUGAUCAUAUCGAGGCAUAUUAUACGAUUGGCAUGGUUACAUGAAUACGAUUUGGAGCCACAUCAUAUUCGAGCACACAUCUACGUUUGAUAUGCUUGCGAUGGAUCCAAAAAAGAAGAAGGAUAUAUUGGACGAUCUGAUUACGUUCAGCAAGUCUAAAGACUACUACAAGGAGAUUUUGUAGGGACAUGGUUGGUUUGUAUCAUGGCCAGAGCCAAGAAAUUUUCUAGGCAGGGUCGAGUGACUAACGGAAAAAGGCGGUGUAUCCGAAACCUUUGUAAUCAUCGAUUUUUCUGAUAUUUAAAUGAGUAAAACCAAUGAUGAUUAUAAAAGGUUGAUGGUAACUGGAUUAGCUACUUUUAAAGUUGUAUAGUGAUUCAUUGUUUAAUAAAAUGGGCUAUGUAAAACAUUAGUACUCGAUUGUAUUUAAUCUUUGCUUUAUUGUGUUAAGAAACGAC
rnacentral:lncRNA from 1 species